ACUAUUUAACCUUCAACAAUCAUAAUUCUCAGUCUGAGAAAUUUUUCUUCUAUAUCCUCUUCAAUGUACGAACUCAACUCUAUCAUAAUCAGCAAUGCAGGUAGUAGAAAGGAUUCAGAAGAAGUAUACAGUCCUUUAGUUGCUUUUUCAUUACAGAAUAUGCUGAGGGAGAAUGCUGUCUGUGUAGAGUACAUUUUUUGAGUUCUUCAACAUUCUUUCCUAAAAGGGGAAAUAGGUGAUUAGUCGUCAAGAUGAGAAGUUUUAAAUUUGAUAAAUCUUCAGAAAAUAUGUGGAACUACCACGAUUCAAACAAGCCGUUCAAUCUCGUCAAUCAUUAUAGAUAUUAACACAACUAGAGCAACAAUUGGCUCAUCUCAUAGCGGCGCCAUUAUUGCAUAAGCUUUUGUUGACUGGAGCUCUUUCCAAGAAUUUUACUGCAUUUCCAAAAUCUAUCCUGUAGAAUGUACCAUACCCAGAGUGAUUGUGCUGCUGUGGGAAGAUACGUCUCAUGGCUGAUGUACAAGGUCUCUUGACUUGGAAUUUUGAACAGCGGUGCAAAUUGUUAGGACAAUGACUAAUGUCUAUCUUAGCUACUGCCUGCUUUGCUGUUGCAGUUGUAGUCUACAGAAGUGCUUCAUUGCUAUUUGGCUGUGGUUGGCUCAGCUGGAGAUGGAUUGGAGCAUGCAAAUCAUAUCCGUUGCUUAAAGUGUAUGGCAGGUUUGAACAACAUUUGAGGAGCCACUUCCAAUAUCUCAAGGCACAAGAAAAUCAAACAAUUCCUCGGUGAAUAAAUCAUGCGAUUUCCACACAGUUCUUAACAGCUUUUAUGACAAUCUAUAGCUAAUGGCUCAUUCUCGUCAAGGCCGCCCGUAUUUCAGUCAUCUAUUUGGCUUUUAUUAGUUUGGUUUUCAAUUGUUAAUUCAUGCAAUAUUUGAAUUUUAGAUGGCUGGAAUCAUGAAGAUUGAAAUUUUGCAGCUAUGGAAUUUUAUUUGCAGUUUAAUUAGACUUUGAAUCAGUAUGUUUUUCUUCAUGAGGUGUUCACAGGUUCAACAUGUAUACAAUUGUAGAGUUCUGCCCAAAUUCUAAUGAAGUUGUGCAAAAAUGCACGUUUGAAGGAACAUAA